rnacentral:rRNA from 1 species
UACGUAGGACCCAAGCGUUAUCCGGAUUUACUGGGCGUAAAGAGUUGCGUAGGUGGUUUAUUAAGUGGAGCGUGAAAGCGUGUGGCUCAACCAUACAGCUGCGUUCUAAACUGGUAAACUUGAGUAUGAGAGGGGUAGAUGGAAUUUCUAGUGUAGGAGUGAAAUCCGUAGAUAUUAGAAGGAACACCGAUAGCGUAGGCAGUCUACUGGCUCAUUACUGACACUAAGGCACGAAAGCGUGGGGAGCAAACGGG